UACGUAGGGGGCAAGCGUUGUCCGGAUUUAUUGGGCGUAAAGCGCGCGUAGGCGGUCAGGUAAGUCCGGUGUGAAAGUCAAAGGCUCAACCUUUGAAUGCCGCUGGAUACUGCCUGACUUGAGUCCGGAAGGGGCGAGUGGAAUUCCUGGUGUAGCGGUGAAAUGCGCAGAUAUCAGGAGGAACAGCCAAUGGCGAAGGCAGCUCGCUGGAA
rnacentral:rRNA from 1 species